AAAACGACUCUCGGCAACGGAUAUCUAGGCUCUCGCAUCGAUGAAGAACGUAGCAAAAUGCGAUACUUGGUGUGAAUUGCAGAAUCCCGUGAACCAUCGAGUUUUUGAACGCAAGUUGCGCCCGAAGCCAUUAGGCUGAGGGCACGUCUACCUGGGCGUCUC
rnacentral:rRNA from 1 species